AGGGGAGGCACUUUAGCAUCGUAUGUUUUUGUAAGGAUUGAGAUGGAGGUUGUGAGAAGCCUUUAUCAGCCAUGAAGCUCUUGUAAAUUCAAGAGAUGAGUAUCAUAAUCAAAGUCCACGUCCCACCCCAGGCAGGGCUGGCCGGCGACUGCAGAAAGUCCCCCCCCCCCCCAACCGCGCGCGUGCUCUGCGGAGACCCGCAGUCCCCUUCACCCAGAACAUUCCUCAACCGCAUCCCCCCUUCGCUCCGCCUGGGCCUCUCCGCGAGGGAGCCGGGCCUGCCUCCCGCUCCAUCCCUCCACCCGGCCCUGGCCCAGCCGCUUCCCAGCAGAGCUUGGCUGUUCCUUGAACUUUCAGUGUUGGUUCGAUUUCCUCCAGUGGUACCACAUGCUGCUGUGCAAACAGAGCACGUGGCCGGGCCAAACAAAGGAACAUGUGUGCUGCAAACCAUCCCCCUAUCACGGGAGCGCGAGCUCGGCCAGGAGAGGGCCCGGCCGGCGCGCGGGCUGGGCACAGAAUUCAGACUGGGCCAAUCCGAGUCUUGAUGGCAUUUGACAGGAGCUGUGGAGGAAGGCUUUCUUUUGUGAUGGCAAAGUUGCAAAGAUACAUACCAUGCCAGCAGCAGCCCGUGGAAUGGAACUGGCCUGUGCCUGUCUUCAUGGGAGUGUGAAAGAUACAUCAGGGCAGCAGAGGUGAGAACAAUGGUCCUGGAAGCAUCCGAUCUCUGGGUACUGACAUCUCCACAUCUCCAGCUGAUCAUGCAAUGUGAAGAUUACAGAAAGAUGCUACACUGUUGGCUUUGAAGACUGAAGAAAGGCCUAUGAGCCAGGGAAUGCAACUGAAGAAGGUGGAAACGACAGAAAAAUCCUCCCCUUGAUCUUCUGGAGACGUUGCGAUCCUGCUAACACCUUUAUUUCAGCCCAGUAAAAAUUAUUUCAGACUUCUGACAUCCAGACCUAUAAUAGAAUAAAUGUGUGUUGUUUUAAGCCACCGA